rnacentral:rRNA from 1 species
AACGAACGCUGGCGGCAUGCCUAACACAUGCAAGUCGAACGAACCCUUCGGGGUUAGUGGCGCACGGGUGCGUAACGCGUGGGAAUCUGCCCUUUGCUUCGGAAUAACAGUUAGAAAUGACUGCUAAUACCGGAUGAUGUCUUCGGACCUAAGAUUUAUCGGCAAGGGAUGAGCCCGCCUACGAUUAGGUAGUUGGUGGGGUAAAGGCCUACCAAGCCGACGAUCCUUAGCUGGUCUGAGAGGAUGAUCAGCCACACUGGGACUGAGACACGGGCCAGACUCCUACGGGAGGGAGCAGUGGGGAAUAUUGGACAAGGGGCGCAAGCCUGAGUCAGCAAUGCCGCGUGAGUGAUGAAGGCCUUCGGGUCGUAAAGCGCUUUUACCAGGGAUGAUAAUGACAGUACCUGGAGAAUAAGCUCCGGCUAACUCCGUGCCAGCCGCCGCCGUAACAC